rnacentral:rRNA from 1 species
AUUGAACGCUGGCGCCAUGCUUUACACAUGCAAGUCGGAGCAGCACAGAGAAGCUUGCUUCUAGGGUGGCGAGUGGCGAACGGGUGAGUAACAUAUCGGAACGUACCGGGCAGUGGGGGAUAACUAAUCGAAAGAUUAGCUAAUACCGCAUAUUUUCUGAGGAAGAAAGCAGGGGACCAUUUGGCCUUGCGCUGUUUGAGCGGCCGAUAUCUGAUUAGCUAGUUGGUGGGGUAAAGGCCUACCAAGGCGACGAUCAGUAGCGGGUCUGAGAGGAUGAUCCGCCACACUGGGACUGAGACACGGCCCAGACUCCUACGGGAGGCAGCAGUGGGGAAUUUUGGACAAUGGGCGCAAGCCUGAUCCAGCCAUGCCGCGUGUCUGAAGAAGGCCUUCGGGUUGUAAAGGACUUUUGUCAGGGAAGAAAAGGGCGGGGUUAAUACCCCUGUCAUGAUGACGGUACCU